rnacentral:rRNA from 1 species
CAAUUAUCUAGCCCAUCCGCCCCUACCCGCACACAAUUUAAAUAAAACAUUUUCACCUUCUAGUAAGGGGGACUGAAAGAUUUAUAGGCGCUUUAGAACAAGUACCGAAAGGGAAUGAUGAAAUAAUAAUGAAACAACUACAAAGCCCCACACAGCAAAGCUUACCCCUUGUACCUUUUGCAUCAUGGUCAAGCCAGUUCAACUAGGCAAAAAGUAUUUUUAGUCCACCUCCCCGAAACUGGGUGAGCUACUUCAAAACAGUCUUAUAGGACAAACCCGUCCCUGUUGCAAAAGGGUGGGACGAUUUUUUAGUAGCAGUGAAAAGCUUAUCGGACCCAGAGAUAGCUGGUUAUCCAAGAAAAGAAUCUAAGUUCUACCUUAAGAUUAAUUAUUACACCAAAUAGAGUUUUAAACUUAAGAGCUAUUCAAAUAGGGUACAGCUUAUUUGACCUAGGACACAGCCUCGUACACAGGGUAAAAUUUAAGAUAUUCACAAGUAGGCCUAAGAGCAGCCACCUUUUAAAACGCGUCAAAGCUUCAACCACUUACUCCUAAUAAAUAUCAUUCACCCCCACUAACCCUUAACCACUAUUGGAUGAUUCCAUAACCUUAUGGAAGACAUUAUGCUUGAAUUAGUAACAAGAAUAAGAAAUUCUCCUAAAUGUGAGUAUAGGCCGCAAUAGACCAACCAACGGCAAUUAACGCUAAUAAACUAAGUACAACAACCCCCUAAGAGAAACCUGUAACACCCAACGUUAAUCUUACACAAGAACAUUUCAGGAAAGAUUAAAAGGAAGAGAAGGAACUCGGCAAAUAUCAACCCCGCCUGUUUACCAAAAACAUCGCCUCUUGCUUAAAUAUAAGAGGUCCAGCCUGCCCAGUGAUUCUUAAACGGCCACGGUACCCUAACCGCGCUAAGGUAGCACAAUUACUUGUCCUUUAAAUGGGGACCUGAAUGAAUGGCAUCACGAGGGUUGCACUGUCUCCUCCCCCCAAUCAGUGAAAUUGACCUCCCUGUGAAAAGGCAGGAAUAAAAAUAUUAGACGAGAAGACCCCAUGGAGCUUUAGACACCGAGAAAAUCUGACCCCUCCCCAAUAAGUCUAAGAUCUUUUCCUCUGAGUCUUCGGUUGGGGCGACCAUGGAGUAAAAACUANNNNNNNNNNNNNACGGAUUAUUCCUUAUCUACGAGCCACACCUCUAAGAAACAGAAUACUGACGCCCGCUGAUCCGGACCCCGAUCAACGAACCAAGUUACCCUGGGGAUAACAGCGCUAUCUACCUCGAGAGUUCAUAUCGACAGGUGGGUUUACGACCUCGAUGUUGGAUCAGGGUGACCUAGUGGUGUAGCCGCUACAUGAGGUUCGUUUGUUCAACGAUUAAAACCCUACGUGAUCUGAGUUCAGACCGGAGUAAUCCAGGUCGGUUUCUAUCUAUAAAGUGCUGCCUCUAGUACGAAAGGACCGAGACGGCGUGGCCAAGCACCAACAAGCCACUACCUUUUAUUAAUGACUUACACUUAAUUAUAUAAAGACCUGACACUGUGCCCCAAAUAAGGGC